AUUGAACGCUGGCGGCAGGCCUAACACAUGCAAGUCGAACGAGUGGCGGACGGGUGAGUAAUGUCUGGGAAACUGCCCGAUGGAGGGGGAUAACUACUGGAAACGGUAGCUAAUACCGCAUACCAUCGGAUGUGCCCAGAUGGGAUUAGUUAGUCGGUGGGGUAACGGCUCACCCAGGCGACGAUCCCUAGCUGGUCUGAGAGGAUGACCAGGCACACGGGAACAUGGACACGGUGCAGACUCCUACGUGAGGCAGCAGGGGGGAAGAGUGCACAAUGGGCGCAAGCGUGAGGCAGCCAUGCCGCGUGUAUGAAGAAGGCCUGCGGGUUGUAAAGUACUGUCAGCGAGGAGGCGUUACUCGCAGAAGAAGCACCGGCUAACUCCGUGCCAGCAGCCGCGGUAAUAC
rnacentral:rRNA from 1 species